rnacentral:rRNA from 1 species
GAUGAACGCUAGCGACAGGCCUAACACAUGCAAGUCGAGGGGCAGCACAUGAGUAGCAAUACGAUGGUGGCGACCGGCGCACGGGUGAGUAACACGUAUGCAACCUGCCUUCUACUAUGGGAUAACCCGUUGAAAGACGGACUAAUACCGUAUAAUACAGGGGGCUCCGCAUGGAGAUAUUUGUUAAAGAUUUAUUGGUAGAAGAUGGGCAUGCGUAUGAUUAGAUAGUUGGUGAGGUAACGGCUCACCAAGUCAACGAUCAUUAGGGGUUCUGAGAGGAAGGUCCCCCACACUGGUACUGAGACACGGACCAGACUCCUACGGGAGGCAGCAGUGAGGAAUAUUGGUCAAUGGACGAGAGUCUGAACCAGCCAAGUCGCGUGAAGGAAGACGGUUCUAUGAAUUGUAAACUUCUUUUGUGCAGGAAUAAAGUGGGUUAACGUGUAACCUUUUGUAUGUACUGUACGAAUAGGAUCGGACUAACUCCGUGCCAGCA